UACGGAGGGUGCAAGCGUUAUCCGGAUUCACUGGGUUUAAAGGGUGCGUAGGUGGGUUGGUAAGUCAGUGGUGAAAUCCCCGGGCUUAACUUGGGAACUGCCAUUGAUACUAUCAGUCUUGAAUACUGUGGAGGUUAGCGGAAUAUGUCAUGUAGCGGUGAAAUGCUUAGAUAUGACAUAGAACACCAAUUGCGAAGGCAGCUGGCUACACAAAUAUUGACACUGAGGCACGAAAGCGUGGGGAUCAAACAGG
rnacentral:rRNA from 1 species